rnacentral:rRNA from 1 species
GAUGAACGCUGGCGGCGUGCCUAACACAUGCAAGUCGAGCGAUUCUCUUCGGAGAAGAGCGGCGGACGGGUGAGUAACGCGUGGGUAACCUGCCCUGUACACACGGAUAACAUACCGAAAGGUAUGCUAAUACGGGAUAAUAUGCUUUAGUCGCAUGGCUGAAGUAUCAAAGCUCCGGCGGUACAGGAUGGACCCGCGUCUGAUUAGCUAGUUGGUAAGGUAAUGGCUUACCAAGGCGACGAUCAGUAGCCGACCUGAGAGGGUGAUCGGCCACAUUGGAACCGAGACACGGUCCAAACUCCUACGGGAGGGAGCAGUGGGGAAUAUUGCACAAUGGGCGAAAGCCUGAUGCAGCAACGCCGCGUGAGCGAUGAAGGUCUUCGGGUCGUAAAGCUCUGUCCUCAAGGAAGAUAAUGACGGUACUUGAGGAGGAAGCCCCGGCUAACUACGUGCCAGCCGCCGCCGUAA